rnacentral:rRNA from 1 species
GUAAUACGGAGGGAGCUAGCGUUGUUCGGAAAUACUGGGCGUAAAGCGCACGUAGGCGGCCUGUUAAGUCAGGGGUGAACGCCCGGGGCUCAACCUCGGAAUUGCCUUUGAUACUGGAUAUCUUGAGUUCGGGAGAGGUGAGUGGAAUGCCGAGUGUAGAGGUGAAAUUCGUAGAUAUUCGGCGGAACACCAGUGGCGAAGGCGACUCACUGGCCCGAUACUGACGCUGAGGCGCGAAAGCGUGGGGAGCAAACAG